GCGAUAUAAAGAACGCUGCAUUGGUCACGAAGAGCACAUGGAUUAUUACGAACUUGCGGAAUAACACUGUUGGCAUUCUUGUUGUAAUUUUGUGGCAUUCUUGGUCUACCUCACACCGCGCACGUUACAUUGAGCCAGGAUGAGCUGGCUUACGUUCACGUUCGCUGUAUCUUGCAGCUUGGCAUUAUUGGCAGGUGGAACCCUCCGAUUUCGACCCGAAAAGUGUUGCUCAAUUAUCAUUGCGACUGCCGUGUUACAUAACAUAUGUGAAAACCAUGGACUUCCCGUUCCUCGUAAUCCACCCGCCAACGUGGACAAUCCCGAUGCGACAACAACCCUCUAAUUGGUUUCGCAGACAACUAGACGGGCGUGGACGCAAGGACAAGAAUGAUAGAUUAACAUUUUAGGAAUAUGUGAAGCCUUCUUUCUUCAACAUCAAGUCGCUUCUUCUCAACUUCUACCCGCUCCUUCUCUACCUCGACUACUUCAGCUGCAUGGGAAAGUUUCCUUUCUGCUGCAGAUCCCAUGGAUGAACCAGCCUUUCCUGAUCGCCGGACAGAAGAAGAUGAAGCUGAAGGAACGUCACCAUCCGAGAUGUCAUCGACAGGAUGAGUGAUGAA